rnacentral:rRNA from 1 species
GAACUGGGAACUUGAGUGCAGAAGAGGAGAGUGGAAUUCCACGUGUAGCGGAUGAAUGCGUAGAGAUGUGGAGGAACACCAGUGGCGAAGGCGACUCUCUGGUCUGUAACUGACGCUGAGGCGCGAAAGCGUGGGGAGCGAACAGGAUUAGAUACCCUGGUAGUCCACGCCGUAAACGAUGAGUGCUAAGUGUUAGAGGGUUUCCGCCCUUUAGUGCUGCAGCAAACGCA